rnacentral:rRNA from 1 species
CCUAACACAUGCAAGUCGAGCGGAAACGAUCCUAGCUUGCUAGGAGGCGUCGAGCGGCGGACGGGUGAGUAAUGCAUAGGAAUCUGCCCGGUAGUGGGGGAUAACUUGAGGAAACUCAAGCUAAUACCGCAUACGCCCCAAGGGGGAAAGCAGGGGAUCUUCGGACCUUGCGCUAUCGGAUGAGCCUAUGUCGGAUUAGCUAGUUGGUGAGGUAAUGGCUCACCAAGGCCGCGAUCCGUAGCUGGUCUGAGAGGAUGAUCAGCCACAUCGGGACUGAGACACGGCCCGAACUCCUACGGGAGGCAGCAGUGGGGAAUAUUGGACAAUGGGCGAAAGCCUGAUCCAGCCAUGCCGCGUGUGUGAAGAAGGCCUUCGGGUUGUAAAGCACUUUCAGCGAGGAAGAACGCUUGUGGGUUAAUACCCCGCAAGAAGGACAUCACUCGCAGAAGAAGCACCGGCUAACUCCGUGCCAGCAGCCGCGGUAAUACGGAGGGUGCAAGCGUUAAUCGGAAUUACUGGGCGUAAAGCGCGCGUAGGCGGCUUGAUAAGCCGGUUGUGAAAGCCCCGGGCUCAACCUGGGAACGGCAUCCGGAACUGUCAGGCUAGAGUGCAGGAGAGGAAGGUAGAAUUCCCGGUGUAGCGGUGAAAUGCGUAGAGAUCGGGAGGAAUACCAGUGGCGAAGGCGGCCUUCUGGACUGACACUGACGCUGAGGUGCGAAAGCGUGGGUAGCAAACAGGAUUAGAUACCCUGGUAGUCCACGCCGUAAACGAUGUCGACUAGCCGUUGGGGUCCUCGAGACCUUUGUGGCGCAGUUAACGCGAUAAGUCGACCGCCUGGGGAGUACGGCCGCAAGGUUAAAACUCAAAUGAAUUGACGGGGGCCCGCACAAGCGGUGGAGCAUGUGGUUUAAUUCGAUGCAACGCGAAGAACCUUACCUACUCUUGACAUCGAGCGAACUAUCCAGAGAUGGAUUGGUGCCUUCGGGAACGCUCAGACAGGUGCUGCAUG